rnacentral:rRNA from 1 species
CGUAGGUGGCAAGCGUUGUCCGGAAUUAUUGGGCGUAAAGCGCGCGCAGGUGGGAUAUUAAGUCUGGUGUUAAAGUUCGGGGCUCAACCCCGUGAAGCAUUUGGAAACUGAUAUUCUUGAGUGCAGGAGAGGAAAGUGGAAUUCCUAGUGUAGCGGUGAGAUGCGUAGAUAUUAGGAGGAACACCAGUGGCGAAGGCGACUUUCUGGACUGUGUCUGACACUGAGGCGCGAAAGCCAGGGUAGUGAACGGGAUUAGAUACCCCGGUAAUCCUGGCCGUAAACGAUGGGUACUAGGUGUUGGGGGUAUCGACCCCUCCAGUGCCGGAGUUAACGCAAUAAGUACCCCGCCUGGGGAGUACGGCCGCAAGGUUG